rnacentral:rRNA from 1 species
AAACUAACAAGGAUUCCCCUAGUAACUGCGAGUGAAGCGGGAAAAGCUCAAAUUUAAAAUCUGGCGGGUUCCCCGUCCGAGUUGUAAUCUGGAGAAGCGUUUUCCGUGUCGGACCGUGUACAAGUCCCUUGGAAUGGGGCGUCAUAGAGGGUGAGAAUCCCGUCCAUGACACGGACUACCGAUGCUUUGUGAUACGCUCUCGAAGAGUCGAGUUGUUUGGGAAUGCAGCUCAAAAUGGGUGGUAAAUUCCAUCUAAAGCUAAAUAUUGGCGAGAGACCGAUAGCGAACAAGUACCGUGAGGGAAAGAUGAAAAGCACUUUGGAAAGAGAGUUAAACAGUACGUGAAAUUGUUGAAAGGGAAACGCUUGAAGUCAGUCGCGUCCGUCGAGACUCAGCCUUGCCUUUGGGCCUGGUGUAUUUCUUGGUGGACGGGUCAACAUCGAUUUUGAAUGGCAGAUAAAGGUCUGGGGAAUGUGGCACCUCCGGGUGGUUAUAGCCCCUCUCCGUAUAUGCUGUUUGGGAUCGAGGAACGCAGCACGCCCUUGUGGCCGGGGUUUUACCCACGUACCGUGCUUAGGAUGUUGGCAUAAUGGCUUUAAGCGACC